rnacentral:rRNA from 1 species
GAACGCCGUAGCAAUACGGAGUGGCAGACGGGUGAGUAACGCGUGGGAACAUACCCCUCGGUUCGGAAUAACUCACGGAAACUUGAGCUAAUACCGGAUACGUCCAAGGUUUUAAUCGACCUUGGAGAAAGAUUUAUCGCCGGGGGAUUGGCCCGCGUCUGAUUAGCUUGUUGGUGAGGUAAUGGCUCACCAAGGCGACGAUCAGUAGCUGGUCUGAGAGGAUGAUCAGCCACAUUGGGACUGAUACACGGCCCAAACUCCUACGGGAGGCAGCAGUGGGGAAUAUUGGACAAUGGGCGAAAGCCUGAUCCAGCCAUGCCGCGUGAGUGAUGAAGGCCUUAGGGUUGUAAAGCUCUUUUACCCGGGAAGAUAAUGACUGUACUCGCAGAAGAAGCCCCGGCUAACUUCGUGCCAGCAGCCGCGGUAAUACCAACGGGGCUAGCGUUGCUCGUACUCAUUGGGCGUAAAGCGCACGUUGGCGGUUUUCUAAGCUCAGAGGUGAUAAUCCUGGACCCAACUCCAGAACUGCCUUAGAUACUGGAGAGCUUGCAUUCGGGAGAGGUGAGUGGUACUGCCG